ACCAUCUCGGCCAAGGCGAUUUGUGCUUAAUGCUGCCAGUUUACGCACUGCAAACGCCGACCGUGAAAAAGCAGAUGGUGAGCAGACAAGGGAGGCACUGGUGCAGUAUUUCUGGAAUUUAAAGCAUCGGGUCCCUUAAACACUUGUCUACCACCGCUGUUUUGUCUUUUUUUCUCUUCACUGUUGCAAAAAUAAAGGUUUGCCUUUGCUAUUCCUUGUGUUUUCCUUUUCUUCCUUGGAAACACAACAUGCCAUGAGCGUACUGCGAGAUUGGGUGCGCGUGUUUAGGGAUGUCAUGACAUUUACCCUGCAUCUCAUUAGUGUUGGUUGGAGAGGGAAACUGAGAGCCAUCACAGGCCACGUUCAGUGGAAUAAGCUUUGCACUCCCAUUCAGUUGUGCAACUUUAGGUUAUAGCUUUGUGGUGCAAAAAUCUCCUCCCAUUACAUUGUCUGCAGCUUUGCUGUGUUGGAACAGUGGAGGCCCUGACCACAUGCACAGUUGUGCAUUUUGCUGGUUUAAUAAGCCACACCAUUUGUUCCCUGUCCCAUCAACCACCAGAUUCCCCCAACUUGCAAUGCACUGGUCUCCCAUGGAGCACCCCAAUACAGGCCAUAGUACAGAUUGUGUCCUGCAGAAUUCCUUAGGGGGGAGCAGUCUGGUUUCCUGAAUAGGAAACACGAUCCAACCCUGUCUUCAUGCAAGCGUUUACACAGCAUGUAACAGCCUAAAAAAAAAUGAUAACUUAUGCGCAUGCACGCAAUGCGCAUAGUUUUAGGCCGCUAUGGGCCACCGUAGGGAAAGGGGAGUGAUGUCACCGGCUGCACUCCUCCUCUAACGGCGCCAAGCUUGAGUUGACUACAUUGUAACAAUUUACCUGUGGAGCCCUGCAGCCAUUGGCUAACAGGUGUGGGGCUACUUUUUGAAACUUUGGUCCCAUGUGUGCGCAGAGUCUGUCCGUUGGGGGAAGAUGGCGCCGAGGAGGCUCGCAAGGAUCGAGCAUUGGACGGCCGAAGAAACCGACCUCCUGCUCGAUUCUCUCGGCCGUACAGAUGCGGGGUUGAGGCGGCUGAUGCGAUCCAGCAGCCACCCCAACCUCCAUCUGUACGAGAGAGCCUCCCGGCACCUCGAAAGGCACGGUUAUAGACGGCUUGCGGUGCAAUGCCGGACUAGGUUUAAAAAUCUGAAGGCAGCUUUUUUCAAGGCCCGGGACAUCGCCCAGGGCAGCCCCCCGCGACAUGUCCGCCCGCCUUUCUACCAGAGGCUGGCGGACAUGUGGCGGAGGGCAGGACGGCCGGCAGCUCGGGAGCGGAGGCCCCCGCCAGGUAAUUGUCAAAUGUUUUGAUACCGGUGGGGUUGCGCUGUGGGGUUGCACAGGUAGGGGGGACGGAAUGACUAAUUGUGCGCAUGAUCUUUCAUUGAGACCGUUUACUUUUUUUCCAGCCCCCGACUCUGAUCGGGGAAGACCAAGGAGGAGGAGGGGGGUCCCGCCGCCGUGAGCCUUCUUCCUCGCCGUCUUCCGAAGAGGAGGAACAGGAGGAGGAGGAAGAGGAGGAUCCCUCCGUGUUGGGAGAGGAGGGAGAGGACGAGGCACCUGCUGUCCGCGAGUCACCAGCGGAGGAGGAGGUGGAGGAGGCGGGGCAGAUCGAGGCUGAGGAAUCGCAGCCUGGACCAUCCCAUGCUGCUGGGGUCGCUGCAGCGGCACCACCCGCACUUUGGUACUCCAAUAUUCUACUACGAGUAGGGGCCCAAGACCAGAGGCUGGCACUAAUGGAGCAGAGGCUGUCCAGGCUCGAGGGCCUGGAACAGAGAGUGGAGAGGCUGGAGCGUGUCCUGCGCCAGCGCUGGCCGGAGGACUUUGAAGAUGUGUAAAUAGUAAAUAUAUUGUUUUAACAUUGUAAAUACACAGUUGAUAUUUUUUGAACAAAUGUUUCCUUGUGGUCAUUUUGCAAUGCUACUUGUCUGCUGGAGACAUACAGAUGACACACAUGUUUAUAGAACAUUGUUUUUAUUAGGCCACCUC